AAGAAGAUGAAGCUGCCAGCAUGAUCUGAAAGCAUACGAGUCCUUCGUUAUCAUCUGAUGAAAGAAAUAGAUGAUCAGAUCAUCUGGCAGUUUCAUUUUCUCGUGGUAGCACAGCAUCACCAUGCACGCUUGUUGGAAACCCUAGAGUCAGGUAAGCAGCCAAUUUUCUUCUUCCGACGGCGUCCCUGGAAGAAAAAGACAAGGCCAGGCAAGAUCCAUGUUUAAGGUUGAGGCGUUGAGCCUGGGCCCGGUAGUACUUGAUGUUCCAUCUGGAAAGGGUAUGCAGUUCGUGUACACAAGUAAUAUUCUUGGGGAUAUUACUACUGUCCUAAAAAGGAUUUUAAAGACACUGAUUUCGUGUACACAACGAGGAGUACAGCCAAUUACAGGUAUACGCUUCUCAACUAUGAACUCCUUGUUCAACCUAUGACGAGUAAACAAGUGUUGUUUUCAUCAAUCAUCACGAAUAUAGUACCCGGUCUGUUGUCGUCUGUAAAUGAACUUAUGACACACAUUCCGUUAUUUGACUGAAUGUCUGAGUGCUCUUUUUUGCAUAUCCGAUCAGACUGCAUCCGUACAAAAAGGGGGUCUGAAUAAUUUCACAAAAAAGACGUUGCUUGUUCAGGUUAUAACUGAAUGCAUGUAUGAAUGUCAGAUUACUCAAAUGAACUCUCCAAAUGCAUAAAAGAGUGCUGGCGCAAGUGCAUGCAAGUAUGCAACUGAUGAGUUGACUUGAUCGACGUUGCUGUAGCUGACUAGCUGUAGCACUUCGGUUCCAAUUCCGCCGAACCAGCCUUUCGGUGCUUUGCGUUGCGUCUCAACAACAACAAGCCCACAAAGACAAAAAGAUCUCGCAAGCAAGCAUAAACGCGACGAAGUGGACUUGCAAUAUAUGCAUGGAUGGACCGGCUGAGGGCUGACCAUGGAAUAGAUGCACAGCACUACAUCCUAAGGCAGCCACCAAAUUGCCUGUCUAUUUACACAGUAGCAAAUAGAAGACAUGCAAUGGAAAAGCUCAGAAUGGUAAAAGGCGUUGUUCUAUUCACACAAAAGCGAGCAAAACAGAUCGAUGGUCAUGUAUGUGUAUUUCCUUGAUCGUACUAUGAAUAUGAUUAGGACUACUCGAUCGAGCAGCGAAGCAAGGCAUAUUCAUCUC